AACGAACGCUGGCGGCAGGCUUAACACAUGCAAGUCGAGCGCCCCGCAAGGGGAGCGGCAGACGGGUGAGUAACGCGUGGGAACGUACCUUUUGGUUCGGAACAACUCCGGGAAACUGGAGCUAAUACCGGAUAAGCCCUAACGGGGAAAGAUUUAUCGCCGAAAGAUCGGCCCGCGUCUGAUUAGCUAGUUGGUGAGGUAACGGCUCACCAAGGCGACGAUCAGUAGCUGGUCUGAGAGGAUGAUCAGCCACACUGGGACUGAGACACGGCCCAGACUCCUACGGGAGGCAGCAGUGGGGAAUAUUGGACAAUGGGCGCAAGCCUGAUCCAGCCAUGUCGCGUGAGUGAUGAAGGCCUUAGGGUUGUAAAGCUCUUUUGUCCGGGAAGAUAAUGACUGUACCGGAAGAAUAAGCCCCGGCUAACUUCGUG
rnacentral:rRNA from 1 species